rnacentral:lncRNA from 1 species
UCUGUCACCCAGGCUGGAGUGCAGUGGUGUGACCACAGCCACUGCAGGCUCAACCUCUGGGACUCAGGUGAUCCUCCCAUCUCAGCCUCCCAAGUAGCUGGGACUACAGGUUGCUUCUUCCAGAUCCCUUUUGAUCUACUUUCAGCUAUGGAUUCAUGAGAAUCAAGACUAAGCAGCCUGAAUUGAAGGAGUAACAGUAUCACCUAACAAUGAUUUUGCUGCCAUAGUAGCUGUUUGUAUACUGGCCAUAUGCCUAGGUAAAAUGAGGCCAGAUCACUCUCAAGAGUUUUCUAUCAGAGUUGGUGGUGAACUACUGCUCACGGAUAAUGCUGUACUGGUCUGGAGCUGCACAUUCUUUUCAGACAACUCUUGUUCCAGCUAGAGUGCAAUGGUGCAACCUCAGCUCACUGCAACCUCCGCUUCCCAGGUUCAAGCGAUUCUCCUGCUUCAGCCUCCCUGGUUGCUGGGAUUACAGGUGACUCUUCUCCUGUAACAGAGCCUCCUUCUUAGAAACUAUGGCCUCCCGUUUCUUUAAGUCUGCUUCC